AAUUUUAGCUGAAAAAGUCAUGAACAUAAAAGUUGUAGAACUCAUCAAGAGCUACAACUUUUAUUUUGGUCAUUUCUUCAUCUGAUAAAGUAAUAGUAACAUUGUAACAUUGUUCACAAAAUUUACAUAUCUCUCUUAUAAGUUAUGAAACUAUAUGUGAGAUAUGUAAAUUUUGUAAACAAUGUUACUAUCGCUUUGUCGGAUGAAGAAAUGACCAAAAUAAAAGUUAUAGAUUUUGAUGAGUUAUACAACUUUGUUAUUGAUGACUUUUUCAGUUGAAAUC
rnacentral:pre_miRNA from 1 species